rfam:Schistosoma curassoni strain Dakar, Senegal genome assembly, scaffold: SCTD_scaffold0001621
AUCUGGUUGACGAGUCCUAAAUGGAACGAAACGCGUGUCCUGGGU